GGUCCUAUGGUAUAGUGGUUAGCACUCUGGACUCUGAAUCCAGCGAUCUGAGUUCAAAUCAAGGUAGAACCU